rnacentral:rRNA from 1 species
AGAGUUGAUCAUGGCUCAGGAUGAACGCUAGCUACAGGCUUAACACAUGCAAGUCGAGGGGCAGCAUUAUCGAAGCUUGCUUGACAGAUGGCGACCGGCGCACGGGUGAGUAACGCGUAUCCAACCUUCCCCAUAGUAGGGCAUAGCCCGUAGAAAUGCGGAUUAAUACCCUAUGUAUUCCGAGGAUGACAUCUGAUUCGGAACAAAGGUUCACCGCUAUGGGAUGGGGAUGCGUCUGAUUAGGUAGUAGGCGGGGUAACGGCCCACCUAGCCGACGAUCAGUAGGGGUUCUGAGAGGAAGGUCCCCCACAUUGGAACUGAGACACGGUCCAAACUCCUACGGGAGGCAGCAGUGAGGAAUAUUGGUCGAUGGGCGAGAGCCUGAACCAGCCAAGUAAGCGUGCAGGAAGACGGCCCUAUGGGUUGUAAACUGCUUUUAUACAGGGAUAAAGUCGGGGACGCGUUCCCCGUUUGCAGGUACUGUAUGAAUAAGGACCGGCUAAUUCCGUGCCAGCAGCCGC